rnacentral:rRNA from 1 species
GACGAACCGUGCGAACGUUAUUCGGAAUCACUGGGCUUAAAGGGUGCGUAGGCGGGUUGCCAAGUCUGUGGUGAAAUCCUUCAGCUUAACUGGAGAACUGCCGUGGAUACUGGCGACCUCGAGGGGUGUAGGGGCUUGCGGAACUGUGCGUGGAGCGGUGAAAUGCGUUGAUAUGCACAGGAACUCCGGUGGCGAAAGCGGCGAGCUGGACACCUUCUGACGCUGAGGCGCGAAGGCUAGGGGAGCGAACGGG